UACAGAGGUCUCAAGCGUUGUUCGGAUUCAUUGGGCGUAAAGGGUGCGUAGGUGGCGCCAUAAGUCAGGUGUGAAAUCUCGGGGCUCAACCCCGAAACUGCAUUUGAUACUGUGGUGCUCGAGUACUGGAGAGGAGAUUGGAAUUUACGGUGUAGCAGUGAAAUGCGUAGAUAUCGUAAGGAACACCAGUGGCGAAGGCGGCUCACUGGCCCACAACUGACGCUGAUGCGCGAAAGCUAGGGGAGCAAACAGG
rnacentral:rRNA from 1 species